AUGCACUGGACCCGCCAGAGCCCCGGGAAGGCGCUGGAAUACGUCGCGAGUAUCAACAGCAAUGGUGGCAGCACCUGGUACGCGCCGUCAGUCAAGGGGCUCCGGGUGGCCGUGACCCUGCUGGAGUCCGGGGGGGACCUCCAGCCCCCCAGGGGGUCCCUGACUCUGCUCUGCCGCGGGUCUGGGUUCAAUUUCGGGAAUUACAGCAUGUACUGGAUCCGCCAGAGCCCCGGGAAGGCGCUGGAAUACGUUGCAGGGAUCUACAGCAAUGGUGCCAACACCUACUACGCGCCAUCAGUCAAGGGCCAGUUCAGGAUCUCCAGGGACAACGGGCAGAGCUCGGUGACGCUGACCAUGAACAACCUCAAGGACGAGGAUUCUGGAGCCUAUUUCUGUGCCAGAUGUUUCUCUACUAGUUGGGCUGAGAGUGCUGGUUAUGCUGCUCUCCUGGCCCCUGAUUGGCCGAGCUGA